GUCCUUGAGGAAUUGAGAGGGGAUUUCAGGCCUUAUUCCCUAAGGGCAGUGACCUCCUGAAAGGAAUGGACUCUCCAAUGUUGAGUCGGCACCCAAAGUAAAGACUGGCCUUUCCAGCCAGCCACCUUGGCCUUGCAGCUCUGUAGCUGUCCACAAAGGCUCCGAGGUAUGUACUAUGGAAUGAUCACGUGAAGGACUAAACACACAAAUGGAGGGAGACAAAGAAGCAUGGCUCAACGGAGGAACUUGCUCUUUCCAGAAAAUUUUUGAUGACCUUAUAGAGAACUGGUA